GUCCACGCCCUAAACGAUGAGAGCUGGGUGUCGGCAGGGUUUCCUGUCGGUGCCGAAGCUAACGCGUUAAGCUCUCCGCCUGGGGACUACGAACGCAAGUUUAAAACUCAAAGGAAUAGACGGGGCCCGCACAAGCAGCGGAGCGUGUGGUUCAAUUCGAUGCAACACGAAGAACCUUACCAGGGUUUGACAUGUAUGUGGUAGGAAACUGAAAGGGGCCCGACCCGCAAGGGAGCAUGCACAGGUGCUGCAUGGCUGUCGU
rnacentral:rRNA from 1 species